AUUGAACGCUGGCGGCAGGCCUAACACCUGCAAGUCGAACGAGUGGCGGACUGGUGAGUAAUGUCUGGGAAACUGCCUGAUCGCGGGGGAUAACUACUGGAAACGGUAGCUAAUACCGCCUACCAUCGCCUGUUCCCAGAGAGGAGUAGCUCGUAGGUGGGGUAACGGCUCACCAACGCGGCGAUCCCUAGCUGGUCUGAGAGGAUGACACGCAACACUGGAACUGAGAAAAGGGCCAGACGCCUACGGGAGGCAGCAGUGGGGAAUAUUGCACAAUGGGCGCAAGCCUGAUACAGCCAUGCCGCGUGUAUGAAGAAGGCCAUCGGGUUGUAAAGUACUUGCAGCGGGGAGGCGUUACCCGCAGAAGAAGCACAGGCGAACUACGUGCCAGACGGGGCGGUAAUAC
rnacentral:rRNA from 1 species